GGACCUACGGGACGCAGCAGUAGGGAAUUUUCGUCAACGGGCGCAAGCCUGAACGAGCAAUGCCGCGUGAACGAGGAAGGUCUUCGGAUCGUAAAGUUCUGUUGAAGGGGAAAAAGAGCGGAGAGAGGAAAUGGUCUCCGAUUGAUAUUACCCUUCGAGGAAGUCACGGCUAACUACGUGCCAGCAGCCGCGGUAAUACGUAGGUGGCGAGCGUUAUCCGGAAUGAUUGGGCGUAAAGGGUGCGUAGGCGGCCUGCUAAGUCUGGAGUGAAAGGUGCAGGCUCAACCGGGACAGGCUCUGGCAAC
rnacentral:rRNA from 1 species